UUAAGCGACUAAGCGUACACGGUGGAUGCCCUGGCAGUCAGAGGCGAUGAAGGACGUGCUAAUCUGCGAAAAGCGUCGGUAAGGUGAUAUGAACCGUUACAGCCGGCGAUGUCCGAAUGGGGAAACCCAGUGCAAUUCGUUGCACUAUCGUUAACUGAAUACAUAGGUUAACGAGGCGAACCGGGGGAACUGAAACAUCUAAGUACCCCGAGGAAAAGAAAUCAACCGAGAUUCCCCCAGUAGCGGCGAGCGAACGGGGAGCAGCCCAGAGUCUGAAUCAGCUUGUGUGUUAGUGGAACGGUCUGGAAAGUCCGACGGUACAGGGUGAUAGUCCCGUACACCAAAAUGCACAGGCUGUGAACUCGAAGAGUAGGGCGGGACACGUGGUAUCCUGUCUGAAUAUGGGGGGACCAUCCUCCAAGGCUAAAUACUCCUGACUGACCGAUAGUGAACCAGUACCGUGAGGGAAAGGCGAAAAGAACCCCGGCGAGGGGAGUGAAAAAGAACCUGAAACCGUGUACGUACAAGCAGUGGGAGCACCUUUAUGGUGUGACUGCGUACCUUUUGUAUAAUGGGUCAGCGACUUAUAUUCUGUAGCAAGGUUAACCGUAUAGGGGAGCCGCAGGGAAACCGAGUCUUAACUGGGCGUUAAGUUGCAGGGUAUAGACCCGAAACCCGGUGAUCUAGCCAUGGGCAGGUUGAAGGUUGGGUAACACUAACUGGAGGACCGAACCGACUAAUGUUGAAAAAUUAGCGGAUGACUUGUGGCUGGGGGUGAAAGGCCAAUCAAACCGGGAGAUAGCUGGUUCUCCCCGAAAGCUAUUUAGGUAGCGCCUCGUGAAUUCAUCUUCGGGGGUAGAGCACUGUUUCGGCUAGGGGGUCAUCCCGACUUACCAACCCGAUGCAAACUACGAAUACCGAAGAAUGUUAUCACGGGAGACACACGGCGGGUGCUAACGUCCGUCGUGAAGAGGGAAACAACCCAGACCGCCAGCUAAGGUCCCAAAGUCAUGGUUAAGUGGGAAACGAUGUGGGAAGGCACAGACAGCCAGGAUGUUGGCUUAGAAGCAGCCAUCAUUUAAAGAAAGCGUAAUAGCUCACUGGUCGAGUCGGCCUGCGCGGAAGAUGUAACGGGGCUAAACCAUGCACCGAAGCUGCGGCAGCGACACGAUGUGUUGUUGGGUAGGGGAGCGUUCUGUAAGCCUGCGAAGGUGACCUGUGAGGGUUGCUGGAGGUAUCAGAAGUGCGAAUGCUGACAUAAGUAACGAUAAAGCGGGUGAAAAGCCCGCUCGCCGGAAGACCAAGGGUUCCUGUCCAACGUUAAUCGGGGCAGGGUGAGUCGACCCCUAAGGCGAGGCCGAAAGGCGUAGUCGAUGGGAAACAGGUUAAUAUUCCUGUACUUGGUGUUACUGCGAAGGGGGGACGGAGAAGGCUAUGUUAGCCGGGCGACGGUUGUCCCGGUUUAAGCAUGUAGGCUGGUUAUCCAGGCAAAUCCGGAUAAUCAAGGCUGAGGUGUGAUGACGAGGCACUACGGUGCUGAAGUAACAAAUGCCCUGCUUCCAGGAAAAGCCUCUAAGCAUCAGGUAACACGAAAUCGUACCCCAAACCGACACAGGUGGUCAGGUAGAGAAUACCAAGGCGCUUGAGAGAACUCGGGUGAAGGAACUAGGCAAAAUGGUGCCGUAACUUCGGGAGAAGGCACGCUGGUGUGUAGGUGAAGUCCCUGCGGAUGGAGCUGAGACCAGUCGAAGAUACCAGCUGGCUGCAACUGUUUAUUAAAAACACAGCACUGUGCAAACACGAAAGUGGACGUAUACGGUGUGACGCCUGCCCGGUGCCGGAAGGUUAAUUGAUGGGGUUAUCCGUAAGGAGAAGCUCUUGAUCGAAGCCCCGGUAAACGGCGGCCGUAACUAUAACGGUCCUAAGGUAGCGAAAUUCCUUGUCGGGUAAGUUCCGACCUGCACGAAUGGCGUAAUGAUGGCCAGGCUGUCUCCACCCGAGACUCAGUGAAAUUGAACUCGCUGUGAAGAUGCAGUGUACCCGCGGCAAGACGGAAAGACCCCGUGAACCUUUACUAUAGCUUGACACUGAACAUUGAGCCUUGAUGUGUAGGAUAGGUGGGAGGCUUUGAAGCGUGGACGCCAGUCUGCGUGGAGCCAACCUUGAAAUACCACCCUUUAAUGUUUGAUGUUCUAACGUUGGCCCCUUACCGGGGUUGCGGACAGUGUCUGGUGGGUAGUUUGACUGGGGCGGUCUCCUCCCAAAGCGUAACGGAGGAGCACGAAGGUUAGCUAAUCCUGGUCGGACAUCAGGAGGUUAGUGCAAUGGCAUAAGCUAGCUUGACUGCGAGCGUGACGGCGCGAGCAGGUGCGAAAGCAGGUCAUAGUGAUCCGGUGGUUCUGAAUGGAAGGGCCAUCGCUCAACGGAUAAAAGGUACUCCGGGGAUAACAGGCUGAUACCGCCCAAGAGUUCAUAUCGACGGCGGUGUUUGGCACCUCGAUGUCGGCUCAUCACAUCCUGGGGCUGAAGUAGGUCCCAAGGGUAUGGCUGUUCGCCAUUUAAAGUGGUACGCGAGCUGGGUUUAGAACGUCGUGAGACAGUUCGGUCCCUAUCUGCCGUGGGCGCUGGAGAAUUGAGGGGGGCUGCUCCUAGUACGAGAGGACCGGAGUGGACGCAUCACUGGUGUUCGGGUUGUCAUGCCAAUGGCACUGCCCGGUAGCUAAAUGCGGAAGAGAUAAGUGCUGAAAGCAUCUAAGCACGAAACUUGCCCCGAGAUGAGUUCUCCCUGAGACUUUAAGUCUCCUGAAGGAACGUUAAAGACGAUGACGUUGAUAGGCCGGGUGUGUAAGCGCAGCGAUGCGUUGAGCUAACCGGUACUAAUGAACCGUGAGGCUUAACCUU
rnacentral:rRNA from 2 species